rnacentral:rRNA from 1 species
UACGUAGGGGGCAAGCGUUGUCCGGAAUCAUUGGGCGUAAAGCGCGUGUAGGCGGCUUGGUAAGUCUGGCGUGAAAUCUUGGGGCUCAACCCCAAGCGUGCGCUGGAUACUGCCUCGCUCGAGUCCGGGAGAGGAAAGCGGAAUUCCCAGUGUAGCGGUGAAAUGCGCAGAUAUUGGGAAGAACACCGGUGGCGAAGGCGGCUUUCUGGAACGGUACUGACGCUGAGACGCGAAAGCGUGGGGAGCAAACAGGAUUAGAUACCCUGGUAGUCCACGCCGUAAACGAUGGGCACUAGUUGUGGGCGGUGUCGACUCCGUCCGUGACGAAGCUAACGCAUUAAGUGCCCCGCCUGGGGAGUACGGCCGCAAGGCUA